rnacentral:rRNA from 1 species
CAAUAGCGUAUAUUAAAGUUGUUGCAGUUAAAAAGCUCGUAGUUGGAUUUCUGGUUGAAGCGACCGGUCGGGCGUUGAUUCGUCUGCACUGGAGUCGGUUUUGGCCAUCCUCUAGGAAAGUGCGUCUGGUAUUAAGUUAUCGGGCGUAUGAUCCUGGUCUUUCACUGUGAAAAAAUUAGAGUGUUUAAAGCAGGCCUUCGCCUUGAAUACAUUAGCAUGGAAUAAUAAGAUAGGACUUUGGUCUAUUUUGUUGGUUUGCAGACCGAAGUAAUGAUUAAUAGGGAUAGUUGGGGGUAUUUAUAUUCCGAUGUCAGAGGUGAAAUUCUUAGAUUUUCGGAAGAUAAACUUAUGCGAAAGCAUUUACCAAGGAUGUUUUCAUUAA